UGCCUACGGGGCGCAGCAGUGAGGAAUAUUGGUCAAUGGCCGCAGGGCUGAACCAGCCAAGUCGCGUGAGGGAUGACGGUCCUAUGGAUUGUGAACCUCUUUUGUCGGGGAGCAAAGGGCGCCACGUGUGGCGUUUUGCGAGUACCUGAAGAAAAAGCAUCGGCUAACUCCGUGCCAGCAGCCGCGGUAAUACGGAGGAUGCGAGCGUUAUCCGGAUUUAUUGGGUUUAAAGGGUGCGUAGGCGGGCUUUUAAGUCAGCGGUAAAAAUUCGGGGCUCAACCCCGUCCGGCCGUUGAAACUGGGGG
rnacentral:rRNA from 1 species